UAGGGAAUCUUCCGCAAUGGGCGAAAGCUUGACGGAGCAACGCCGCGUGAGUGAUGAAGGUCUUCGGAUCGUAAAACUCUGUUAUUAGGGAAGAACAAAUGUGUAAGUAACUAUGCACGUCUUGACGGUACCUAAUCAGAAAGCCACGGCUAACUACGUGCCAGCAGCCGCGGUAAUACGUAGGUGGCAAGCGUUAUCCGGAAUUAUUGGGCGUGAAGCGCGCGUAGGCGGUUUUUUAAGUCUGAUGUGAAAGCCCACGGCUCAACCGUGGAGGGUCAUUGGAAACUGGAAAACUUGAGUGCAGAAGAGGAAAGUGGAAUUCCAUGUGUAGCGGUGAAAUGCGCAGAGAUAUGGAGGAACACCAGUGGCGAAGGCGACUUUCUGGUCUGUAACUGACGCUGAUGUGCGAAAGCGUGGGGAUCAAACAGG
rnacentral:rRNA from 1 species